GACUCUUCUUGGACAUCUUUUCCAGAUAUGGAACAUUUCGGAUAAAACAAGUGUAAUAAGAAAGAGCACGGGAGGAAAAAAACCAACUCUGAGUCUUCAUAUUAAUCAGAACUACUGCAAACAAGUCAUUGACAGUAAAAAUGAAAGUCUUAACCUAGAAAAAUGAUUCUGAAUUUGUUUCACCACUAGCUGUGAAAUAAACAUCCGUCUGUGGCCCAGAUGGUUUAUCAGCAUCAUCCAUCUUGACUAUUUAACUGGAGAAGCCCUCAGUCUAAAGUUUGACCUCUUCAUUCAUGCCAUGCCCUCUCCUGACUGUUGUUAGUGCAGUCUGGAUUCUAGCAAACUGCUCUUAUUAUCUGUUCCGAUGGAGAUCACCAGCGAAUGACCAGGGUGCCUUCAGUCUUCCAGUAGCAGCAAAUCAUAAGAGGACAAGAACAAGGGCUUAUGGUCUUCUAAGCAUUUUGCCGUGAAACAUGGAAUGGAUCAAUAAAACCACCUUGUCCAACGCUUCGAACAAAGACUUGGGCCACUGUGACGGGCACUGCAGGACAAUUCUGAUAACACUCUAUGGUGGGGUUUUGCUGGGAGGCACCGCUGGAGCUAUUACUAUGUCUUGUAUGAUGCUCAAAAGGAACAACCAAUCAAUGAUUGCCAUGAUCAUUCUCAA